rnacentral:rRNA from 1 species
GCAUAGCUUAACUUAAAGCAAUUCGCUUACACCGAAAAGUUAUUUGUGAAACUCAAAUUUCUGCGAGCUGACGGUCUAGCCCCCCCCCCAAAAAAUUUUAUAGCCCCCUCUAAUUUUAUUAACAAACUAAACCAUUUUAACAAUUUAGUAAAGGAGAUUGAAAAUUUAACAAGAGCCAUACUGUAGUACCGCAAGGGAAUGAUGAAAUAGAAAUGAAACAAAUGUAAAGCUUAAAAAAGUAGAGAUUUAACCUCGUACCUUUUGCAUCAUGAUUUAACUAGUCUAACCAAGCAAAAAGUCUUUCAGUUUGACUUCCCGAAACUAAGUGAGCUACUUCAAGGCAGCUUAAUGAGCUAACCCGUCUCUGUUGCAAAAGAGUGGGGAGACCUUCAAGUAGAGGUGACAGACCUACCGAACUUAGUGAUAGCUGGUUGCUUAAGAAAAGAAUUUUAGUCCAGCCUAAAACUACUUAAUUACCUAAUACAAAAAAACUUAAUUUUAGAGCUAUUCAAAUAAGGUACAGCCUUUUUGAAACAGGAUACAACCUCCACCCGUGGGUAAUUUUUUCCUAAAAAACUAAGUAGGCCUAAAAGCAGCCACCUUUAAAACAGCGUCAAAGCUUAAUUUUGUUCAACUCUCGAUACUUAAAAUUUUUAAGAACCCCACCCCAGUACUAAGCAAUUCUAUAAUAUUAUAGAACUUUUUAUGUUAAAACUAGUAACAUGAAGUCACCUUCUCUUAAAUGCAAACGUAAAUCAGGUAGGAACAGCCACUGAUAAUUAACACCCAUGAACCUACAGUAGUAACAUUACAAGAAAACUCUACUUCAUCCUGUGUUAACCUUACACAAGAACAUUUUAAGAAAGAUUUUAAAAAAAAGAAGGAACUCGGCAAACAUUAACCCCGCCUGUUUACCAAAAACAUCGCCUCCUGAAAACCCAUAAGAGGUCCAGCCUGCCCAGUGACCUUGUUCAACGGCCGCGGUAUCCUAACCGUGCGAAGGUAGCAUAAUCACUUGUUCUUUAAAUGAGGACUAGUAUGAAUGGCAUCACGAAGGUUAUACUGUCUCCUUUUUUUAAUCAGUGAAACUAAUCUCCCCGUGAAGAAGCGGGGAUAAGUCUAUAAGACGAGAAGACCCUAUGGAGCUUUAAACAAAGCAACACCUGUUAAGCAACAAAAAAAAUUUAAGAAAACUAAUAAACACUCUAACACCCUGUAUGCAAGUUUUAGGUUGGGGCGACCACGGAGUACAAUUUAACCUCCGCAAUGAAAAGACAAACCUCCUUAACCAAGAGUAACAACUCUAAGUAUCAAAAAAUUGACAUUCUUUGACCCAAUAAUUUGAUCAAUGAACCA